rnacentral:lncRNA from 1 species
CACCCGCGCGCCGCUGCUCCGCCGGCGCUGCCUCCCUCGACCCGUGGCUCCCCCUCGCAACUUGGCGGGCCUCCUCCCUUUUGUCCGGCCCGGUCCGGCCGCCGCCGCCCCCCGCGCCUGGCGCCGAGCUCCCGGGUCCCCGGGCCGGCUGUCGGUGCCGGCAGGGCGCGGAGGGGGCGGGGGCCGCGGCUCGUCCCCCAGCGGAUGAGCUGCCGCGGACGGGGCGCGGGCGGACGAUGGAACUCCACAUCCUGGAGCACCGGCUGCAAGUUGCCAGCGUCGCCAAGGAGAGUAUCCCGCUGUUCACCUACGGGCCUGAUCAAACUUGCCUUCCUGUUCUCCAAGACCAGGUGCAAGUUCUUCAGUCUGACUGAGACACCAGAGGAUUACACUAUCAUUGUCGAUGAGGAAGGAUUCCUAGAGCUGCCCUCCUCGGAGCACCUGAGUGUGGCGGAUGCCACCUGGCUGGCCCUGAACGUGGUGUCCGGCGGUGGCAGCUUCUCCAGCUCCCAGCCUAUUGGCAUGACCAAGAUCGCCAAGUCAGUCAUCGCCCCACUGGCUGACCAGAACAUAUCCGUGUUCAUGCUGUCCACGUAUCAGACAGACUUCAUCCUGUCCAGAUGCCGGUCAUCCACCCACUGUCCAGCCCGAGCAACAGGUUCUGUGUCACCAGCCUGGACCCCGACACGCUGCCUGCUGUUGCCACACUCCUCAUGGAUGUCAUGUCCUACUUCAAUGGGGCCUUGGUGUACCUUGUUGUAGUGUUUGAAAACAUCUGAGGCUGCAUCCAUCUCCAGCACCCCAUAAAGCAACAGCUUGCAGAACCCGGCUAGGAGGCGGCGCCGCUGGUGUAGCCGCUCUAUCUGUAAAUGAUCCUCCUGGGAAUCACCUGGCUCACAUGGAAGGCAAAAGGGAAUCACAGACUUAAGCUUCCUGCCCUAUAUUUCUGAGCUACACCCAAGCCCCAGCCCUUACUGAGCCCCAGGUAUAGAGUCACUGCACCACUGCCCAGGUCUCCCGGCUGGAUGAA